rnacentral:rRNA from 1 species
ACGAUAGCAAUACUUAGUGGCAGACGGGUGAGUAACAUGUGGGUAUCUGCCCUUGGCCUGGAAUAACACGGAAACUUGUGCUAAUACCGGAUAAGUCUUUACGGAGAAAGCUUUAUGCACCAUUGGAUGAGCCCGCACUUGAUUAGUUUGUUGGUAGGGUAAUGGCCUACCAAGACUAUGAUCAAUAGCUGAUUUGAGAGGAUGAUCAGCCACAUUGGGACUGAGACACGGCCCAAACUCCUACGGGAGGCAGCAGUGGGGAAUCUUGCACAAUGGAGGAAACUCUGAUGCAGCGAUGCCGCGUGAGUGA